rnacentral:rRNA from 1 species
GACGAACGCUGGCGGCGUGCUUAACACAUGCAAGUCGAGCGGUAAGGCCACUUCGGUGGUACACGAGCGGCGAACGGGUGAGUAACACGUGAGUAAUCUGCCCUUCACUUCGGGAUAAGCACCGGAAACGGUGUCUAAUACCGGAUAUGAGCAUCCUGCGCAUGUGGGGUGUUGGAAAGUUUUUUCGGUGGGGGAUGUGCUCGCGGCCUAUCAGCUUGUUGGUGGGGUAAUGGCCUACCAAGGCUUCGACGGGUAGCCGGCCUGAGAGGGUGACCGGUCACACUGGGACUGAGACACGGCCCAGACUCCUACGGGAGGCAGCAGUGGGGAAUAUUGGACAAUGGGCGGAAGCCUGAUCCAGCAACGCCGCGUGAGGGAUGACGGCCUUCGGGUUGUAAACCUCUUUCAGUACUGACGAAGCUCUAUGGGGUGACGGUAGGUACAGAAGAAGCACCGGCCAACUACGUGCCAGCAGCCGCAGUAAAAC